GUGGAUUAGUACCCUGGUAGUCCACGCCGUAAACGAUGGAUACUAGCUGUUCGGAGCAAUCUGAGUGGCUAAGCGAAAGUGAUAAGUAUCCCACCUGGGGAGUACGGGCGCAAGCCUGAAACUCAAAGGAAUUGACGGGGGCCCGCACAAGCGGUGGAGCAUGUGGUUUAAUUCGAUGAUACGCGAGGAACCUUACCAAGGCUUAAAUGGGAGACGACGUAUUUGGAAACAGAUAUUUCUUCGGACGUCUUUCAAGGUGCUGCACGCUGGUAGACAGCU
rnacentral:rRNA from 1 species